GUGGUCACUUCAGCAGCAUGUAUACUAAAAUUGGAACGACAUAGAGAAGAUAAGCAUGGACCAUGUGCAAGGAUGACACACAAAUUCAUGAAGUGUCCCAUAUUUUA
ensembl:snRNA U6 U6 spliceosomal RNA